UCAAUUGGCAGAGCAACUGACUUGUAAUCAGUAGGUUGGGGGUUCAAGUCCUCUCACCAGCU
rnacentral:tRNA from 1 species